rnacentral:rRNA from 1 species
AUCGAACGCUGGCGGCAGGCCUAACACAUGCAAGUCGAGCGGAGCGGCGGACGGGUGAGUAAUGCCUAGGAAUCUGCCUGGCAGUGGGGGAUAACGUCCGGAAACGGGCGCUAAUACCGCAUACUAUCAGAUGAGCCUAGGUCGGAUUAGCUGGUUGGUGGGGUAAAGGCCUACCAGGGCGACGAUCCGUAACUGGUCUGAGAGGAUGAUCAGUCACACUGGAACUGGGACACGGUCCAGACUCCUACGGGAGGCAGCAGUGGGGAAUAUUGGACAAUGGGCGAAAGCCGGAUCAGGCCAGGCCGCGGGUGUGAAGAAGGUCUUCGGAUUGUAAAGCCCUUUAAGUUGGGAGGCGUUACCAACAGAAUAAGCACCGGCUAACUACGUGCCAGCAGCCGCGGUAAUUC